rnacentral:rRNA from 1 species
UACAGAGGUCCCAAGCGUUGUUCGGAUUCAUUGGGCGUAAAGGGUGCGUAGGUGGUGCUGUAAGUCAGGUGUGAAAUCUCGGGGCUCAACCCCGAAACUGCACUUGAUACUGCAGUGCUGGAGGACUGGAGAGGAGAUCGGAAUUCAUGGUGUAGCAGUGAAAUGCGUAGAGAUCAUGAGGAAGACCAGUGGCGAAGGCGGGUCUCUGGACAGUUCCUGACACUGAGGCACGAAGGCCAGGGGAGCAAACGGG